rnacentral:lncRNA from 1 species
AAUACAGGCUACAGACCCCACCACAGGAGUGCCAGUCUACGAUGAUUAAAUUACAGCUACUGGUCAAGAAGGAGAAAUGAAAUCAAGGAAAAUGGAUCUGGGGGACCUAUAACACAUUCAAAACUGAAGACCUUCGUGGAACACUAUCGAUUUAUUUCCUCCAAAGGCUUCAGCAGAAGGGACAGCUACUCAGAGUACAACUUUUUUUCCAGCAAAAGAAGGAUUAACUCUGACCAAGGUCAGAGCAACCAGUCACCAAUAUUCUUCAUGGGAGAGUCAGGCCUCCUGCAUCCCCAGGAAAUAUCACCUGAAAUAGCCACCUACACGCAGGAGUUUAACGGGGAAUUUUGCAGUGUCAGAAAUGUGUGGCAUUCUGAAAAGUCUAGUGGAGCCAUAAGACAAUUAUAUAGCAGCUUCCCCAGGUAAGAAACAAAUCAGAGUAAUGCUACAUCACCACGUGAAAUACACAAAUUAGAUGGAGAUGCAUUAACUAGUGUCAUUCAUCAGUCUACAGUGAUACAAUUUAUUACAUGAUAAUAAUGGCCAGAGCUGUAUAAGUAGUAAAGGUAAAAUUACAUCAUAACUUGCAUUAGCAGUAUGAGAUUAUAUCCUGAUUAAUGCACAAUUAACUUGUCAUGUGUACAAUGCAUGUGUUUGGAGGUGGACAGAUGGGUUACACUAUGUCUACAUAUGUAGCAUUUAUCACUUUUUCCUAACCCAAAAUUGGAUAUAGGGCUACAUCUACUAAAACACUUAGCCAACCCACCGGCUUAGUGUAGAGCCACCUAGAGUCUGCAUCAGUGAGAAUCCCUUGGAGAUGAGAACAUCUUUAAAACGUGCAAGAAUCCUCUUCCCCUCUACAGACUGGCAACCUCAUCCAUAGCUCCACAGAGAUACACGUAUCUCUGAGCUGAAAGCAACAACCUUAAAUGCGCUUCUGAUGGCAGGCACAGUCACCUGAACUGAGUUCAGAGUUCAUACCACAGCUACAUAUCCCAAGGGAAAGCCCCCAAGAGCACUAAAUGACCACAGAUGAGGAAUUUUUAACUCCUUUUUUUAUUCAGAUUUAUCAGGGAAAGAAUAAUUAAGCUAGAGGGAGAGUUAUUUGGGAAGCAUUUUUACUUUUAAUUGCAUUUAUGUGUCAGGGUCCCCCAGCUUUACAUGGACUCCUCUUUAACUGCAGAACUGCCUCACUUGUCCGUGUGCUGAUGUUCAGGUAAAGAAAGGACCUCCAAGUUCUAAUCUCUGUUCUGUCACAAAGUCAGUCCCUGAGACCAUCUUUGAUAACCUCAUUUUAAUUUCUCUUUCCAGGUUUCUCAGUCUAAAGUGUGGGGGAGAUAAUAUGUUGUUAUGCUAGCCUACCUCACACUGCAUGUGAUAUUCAAUUAGCUGUUUGAAGUUGUAAAUUGUUGAGUGAUGAUAGAGCAUAACUUUUCAAAAUAAAUGGCAUCGUAUUUUUUGCACACUUUUUAAAGGGUACUGAAAUCUACCAGAAAGGGUUGUCUGACUUUGAUCCUUACUGUGCUUUAUUUUCAUGUUUGAUGGUUCUUCCCAUUUCCAAUACCAAAUGAUGGUCAUUUUCCAGCACUUCCAAUUUAUAAGCAAGACCUUGUAUAACAAGAAAAAAAAAUAUAUCAUUGUGUUGUCUUGGCAUUUCUUUUUCAGCUGACAACACUGAGUACUUGCUGAUUUGAAUACCUUUUCAGAUAUAGGAAAGUCAACAUUUGAGAACAUGAAGAGUCCCUGUUUUGCAAAUCUUUAGUGUUAACGGGAUAAAGGAAACCCUGUUAUAUUUGAAUUCAACUGUUGAAAUGUUUUUAAGUACUUCAGAUUUAAUUUUGCUGAAUAGAACAUAGUACAGAAGACAUAAAGUUUAAAAUCAUCAUGGCUAAAAAACAUUCUGUUGGCAAAUUAAUAUCGGGUAAACAUCCUUGUAUCAAGCAGUACCAGGACAGAUAGUCUUUUUCAUGUGUGACAUUUUUGAUUCUGUGAUGAUCAUUUUAGAUUAUAUUUCUCCACUCUAGAGUAGACGUUUGACUCUGUCCUGUACAGGGAGUCUCUUUUUGUCAUUAGGAAAUCACUUUAUUAUGCUUUGAUCUUCAUCUCCAUUAUAUCCUGAGAGAUACAGUCAGCAGAUGAUGCUACAGAAAGCUAGCCAAGAUUUCAUUUACGCAAACAAAUAUCAGAAGUGACAUCAGAAUUAGAGAUUUAGGUUGUGAUAUAAUAAAACUCGCAUAAGUUAUUACAUUAGCAUUAAGCCUGUAUUUGAGCGCAUGUUAAACCUUAGACUAGUAUAGGAGAGACGAGAAUCUGGUCUGCUGUCUUGGAAAUGUAACUAAGAACUCAUGUAUUAUUAAAAAUAAAAUCAUUCUCUCUCUUUCUUCAGGAGUGGUUUGUGUGUCUGUUGAAGUACUUCAAGAUGACAGAAGAGAGACCUUCAAUUGCACCAGCUGAAAUAACUGACUUGUUCUUCACUUGCAAGAGUGAGUUUAUGAUUCAAUGAUAUAUUAAAGCUUACAUAGGCUGUAGGCAAAGGGUAGGAGGAAACAGAUAAUUUCCUUUGUUGGUUAUCUUACUAUUAAAAAGAAUUGUCAAGUCUGAAAAUGUAAGUAGUAUAAACUCAGGACAUGUUGAGAAUUCAAGUAAAAUACUUUGGGUUGAAGUAGUUAAUUGGCAAGUCUGAAGCAUUUCAGCAAAUAAAAAAAAAAAAAAAAAAAAAAGUAAUUGCAUUUAAGCCAGACAUCCACUUCAUAAAAAGAAGUUGAAAAUUUCCCUAAAUUAAAAACCUCCAAUCAUGCCGCUCUUUAGAAAAUGUUUUCAGGAAAAAAAAAAAAAAAUCCAACGUAAUUGGCAUUACCAAAUCCCUAUUCUUCCUGAAAAUAUAUAUAUAUAUAAAAAUAAGUAAAGUUUUGUGCAGAACUUUGUCCAAGCACACAAUUAAUUUUAGCUGUUGUUCCAAAUACAUCACAGCUCACAGAGAACCAGCAUAAUCACUGGUUCACACCUGUGCUACUUCCCAAAUUACCCACUCCGGGGCUGGAGCCUUCCCAGUAGAUAAGCAGGUAACGUCUCAAUCACAAAUACCUGGUUUGCCCUCUGCACGGUUGCCUACCAAAUAAACGAGGAGAAGACAUGCCGUAUAGUUCCAUGCUCCAGCUCCACUGAAUGUGAGGGUGAGAUGCUUACUAUUUAAUUUUGCCUUUUGGAAUUCCCUCUCAGUCCCAGUUAUUGACGUCUGGGCAGGAACACUGUGAGAGCUUAAGGGAUCUGAUGUCUAUGGCUGAGAGAGUUAACAUGCUGCGUCAGAAAACUGCUAACAGGAGCCAGGUAGCAGUCUGCCUGUUAGCAUUACAUAGCAAGAAACUGAAGAGUUUUGGGGUGCAUCCUUCAAGCGCCAGGAGCCGCUUUGCUAUAUUUUCGAGCUGAGAGCAUACAAGGCAAAUGCAAAGGAUUACUCCCCCUCCCCUUCCAGUCCCCAUCAGUCCCCAGCCCAGCCUGUAAUUUGGCAAGAUGAAUGAAGUGUUUUCGGAGUGUCAUCACUUCUGCCUCUGGCAGAUUUGCUUCCCCAGUCUGCCUUUCGCCUUUUGGACCUGUCACUCAGCCCUUUGGCAGAGGGGAGGAGGGGGAGGGAGGAGGAAAUCAUCUCUUUGCUAAUCACCUAUCACAGGCAAUGAAAUCCCACAGGCUCCGUGCCAGCUAGGUACAUUUCAAAGGGAAAUGGAGGGGGGCAAAGUGUCACUCAAGGCAGAUAUUUAUGAAAGAUGACAGUUUGCAAAUAUCUCAAUCUUGGACAAGGCUGCUCCAGUGACACAGAGGAGUGUUGCAAAAUUGGAAGAGUCAGCAGCCAACAUUUAUUUCAUCAGGACCUGUCCAAUCUUCAGUGAUCGCUUGACAGUCUGGGGAUUGCUGGCACAAGCCAGCCUCUUUCUAUUGGUUGCUUUCAUUUAGUUUGCAUGGAUCAGUCUAAAGAGUUGUAAUAAAUAUGUAAAGAAAGAUAAAAGGAGUAGUUUUGCGGAGCUGCAUCCUCAAUGGGAGAAUCAGAACAAAGCUGUGCUACCCUUUUUAGCUAUGCCAAAUAGGAACAGUAGUAAUUACAUUUCUAUUGAUUGUUAGUGCGUGGGAACAAUGAG